AUUGAACGCUGGCGGCAGGCCUAACACAUGCAAGUCGAGCGGGGUUUUCGGACCUAGCGGCGGACGGGUGAGUAAUGCGUAGGAAGCUACCCGAUAGAGGGGGAUACCAGUUGGAAACGACUGUUAAUACCGCAUAAUGUCUACGGACCCAAGUGUGGGACCUUCGGGCCACAUGCUAUCGGAUGCGCCUACGUGGGAUUAGCCAGUUGGUGGGGUAAUGGCUAACCAAGUCGAUGAUCCCUAGCUGGUUUGAGAGGAUGAUCAGCCACACUGGAACUGAGACACGGUCCAGACUCAUACGGGAGGAAGCAGUGGGAAAUAUUGGACAAUGGGCGCAAGCCUGAUGCAGCCAUGCCGCGUGUGUGAAGAAGGCCUUCGGGUUGUAAAGCACUUUCAGUAGGGAGGAAGCGUUGUGUGUUAAUAGUACACAGCGUUGACGUUACCUACAGAAGAAGCACCGGCUAACUCUGUGCCAGCCGCCGCGGUAAAAC
rnacentral:rRNA from 1 species